UGUAAGCGUAUACCAAAGUUGUUGCAGUUAAAACGCUCGUAGUCGGAAUUUGGCAGUUCCGGAUGUGUGCACGUCGAGUGCGCACUUCGCGGGGAUUGCUUUUGUGGUCUUGCGUAGGAUGAGGCACUUUUAUUAGUGAACGUCCUCACGCAACCACUUUUUACUGUGAGAAAAUCAGAGUGCUCAAAGCAGGCAUUUGCCGUGAAUGUAUUAGCAUGGAAUAAUAGAAUAGGACUUGGUUCUAUUUUGUUGGUUUGUUGGGACUGAGUAAUGAUUAAGAGGGACAGUUGGGGGCAUUUGUAUUUCGGUGCUAGAGGUGAAAUUCUUAGAUUACCGAAAGACAAACUGCUGCGAAAGCGUCUGCCAAGGAUGUUUUCAUUGA
rnacentral:rRNA from 1 species